rnacentral:rRNA from 1 species
UACAGAGGGUGCAAGCGUUAAUCGGAAUUACUGGGCGUAAAGCGCGCGUAGGUGGCUAAGUAAGAUGGGUGUGAAAUCCCCGGGCUCAACCUGGGAACUGCUUUCAUAACUGCUUGGCUAGAGUACGGUAGAGGGUAGUGGAAUUUCCUGUGUAGCGGUGAAAUGCGUAGAUAUAGGAAGGAACACCAGUGGCGAAGGCGACUACCUGGACUGAUACUGACACUGAGGUGCGAAAGCGUGGGGAGCAAACAGGAUUAGAUACCCGCGUAGUCC